CAUGCAAGUCGAGGGGGUAAUAGUUCUUCGGAAUUANAGACCGGCGNACGGUGCUAACGCGUAUGCAAUCUACCUUUCACAGAGGGAUAGCCCAGAGAAAUUUGGGAAUUAAUACCUCAUAGUAUAGCAGUUUCGCAUGAAACCACUAUUAAAGUCACAACGGUGAAAGAUGAGCAUGCGUCCCAUUAGCUAGUUGGUAAGGUAACGGCUUACCAAGGCAACGAUGGGUAGGGGUCCUGAGAGGGAGAUCCCCCACACUGGUACUGAGACACGGACCAGACUCCUACGGGAGGCAGCAGUGAGGAAUAUUGGACAAUGGGCGCAAGCCUGAUCCAGCCAUGCCGCGUGCAGGAUGACGGUCCUAUGGAUUGUAAACUGCUUUAUACAGGAAGAAACACUACUUCGUGAAGUAGCUUGACGGUACUGUAAGAAUAAGGAUCGGCUAACUCCGUG
rnacentral:rRNA from 1 species